rnacentral:rRNA from 1 species
UACAGAGGAGCCAAGCGUUGUCCGGAUUGACUGGGCGUAAAGCGCACGCAGGCGGUUUGGCGCGUGGGGUGUGAAAUCUGGCCGCUUAACGGCCAGGCGCCAUCCCAUACGGCUAGACUGGAGUGAUGCAGAGGUCGGUGGAAUUGCCGGUGUAGUGGUGAAAUGCGUAGAGAUCGGCAGGAACACCCAGGGGGAAACCAGCCGACUGGGCAUCGACUGACGCUGAGGUGCGAGAGCGUGGGGAGCGAACUGG